rnacentral:rRNA from 1 species
GAUGAACGCUCGCUACAGGCUUAACACAUGCAAGUCGAGGGGCAGCAUGGUCCUAGCUUGCUAAGGCCGAUGGCGACCGGCGCACGGGUGAGUAACACGUAUCCAACCUGCCGUCUACUCCUCGACAGCCUUCUUAAAGGAAGAUUAAUACAAUAUGGCAUCAUGAGUUCACAUGUUCACAUGAUUAAAGGUAUCCCGGUAGACGAUGGUGAUGCGUUCCAUUAGAUAGUAGGCGAGGUAACAGCCCACCUAGUCUUCGAUGGAUGGGGGAUCUGAGAGGCAGCUCCCCCGCGAUGGAACUGAGGCACAGACCAAACUCCUACGGGAGGGAGCAGUAAGGAAGAUUAGUCACUGGGCGAGAGCCUGAACCAGCCAAGUAGCGUGAAGAAGGACUGCCCUAGGGGUUGUAAACUUCUUUUAAAGAGAAGUAAAUGCGGGUAAGCAGACCCGAUUGAAUGUACUUUAUGAAUAAGGAUCGGCUAACUCCGUG